rnacentral:rRNA from 1 species
GGCGGCGUGCCUAAUACAUGCAAGUCGAGCGGACAGAUGGGAGCUUGCUCCCUGAUGUUAGCGGCGGACGGGUGAGUAACACGUGGGUAACCUGCCUGUAAGACUGGGAUAACUCCGGGAAACCGGGGCUAAUACCGGAUGGUUGUCUGAACCGCAUGGUUCAGACAUAAAAGGUGGCUUCGGCUACCACUUACAGAUGGACCCGCGGCGCAUUAGCUAGUUGGUGAGGUAACGGCUCACCAAGGCGACGAUGCGUAGCCGACCUGAGAGGGUGAUCGGCCACACUGGGACUGAGACACGGCCCAGACUCCUACGGGAGGCAGCAGUAGGGAAUCUUCCGCAAUGGACGAAAGUCUGACGGAGCAACGCCGCGUGAGUGAUGAAGGUUUUCGGAUCGUAAAGCUCUGUUGUUAGGGAAGAACAAGUGCCGUUCAAAUAGGGCGGCACCUUGACGGUACCUAACCAGAAAGCCACGGCUAACUACGUGCCAGCA